rnacentral:rRNA from 1 species
GAUGAACGCUGACAGAAUGCUUAACACAUGCAAGUCAACUUGAACUUCGGUUUGGGUGGCGGACGGGUGAGUAACGCGUAAAGAACUUGCCUCACAGCUAGGGACAACAUUUGGAAACGAAUGCUAAUACCUGAUAUUAUGAUUAUAUGGCAUCGUAUAAUUAUGAAAGCUAUAUGCGCUGUGAGAGAGCUUUGCGUCCCAUUAGCUAGUUGGAGAGGUAACAGCUCACCAAGGCGAUGAUGGGUAGCCGGCCUGAGAGGGUGAUCGGCCACAAGGGGACUGAGACACGGCCCUUACUACUACGGGAGGCAGCAGUGGGGAAUAUUGGACAAUGGACCGAGAGUCUGAUCCAGCAAUUCUGUGUGAACGAUGAAGUUUUUCGGAAUGUAAAGUGCUUUCAGUUGGGAAGAAAAAAAUGACGGUACCAACAGAAGAAGUGACGGCUAAAUACGUG